rnacentral:tRNA from 8 species
AGAUACUUAGUCCAAACUCAAGACUAUUGAUUUCGGCUCAAUUAAUUAUGGUGAAAAUCCAUAAGUAUCUU